GCAUGCAAUGUUCAAAUGUGAGAAUGAAUGAAUAUGCAGAUGAGAGUUAGGGAAAAAGAGAAUCAAACACAGUAUUUUAUAGAGGUUCCCCCUUAGUUGAUGGGGUAGUCCUCUUGAGCUCGCCUCAGAAAAAGCUAAGCCCUUGCACUAUCAAAUUCAAGAUCCAAUACACAAUUGGUGAAGCUUCCAGCUACAGAUCAACUGGUAAGUCUCUAUUUCCUACUGCAUUAGUUUAUCUACUGUUUCUCCUUCUCUCAAUAACUCUCUUCGAUUUCUCUCUGGUUCUUACUAUCCUCUCUCUUUCUCAACUCUGAGUUCUUAUCUUUGAACUCAGAGCAAUUACAGGUUCUCUCUUUCUCUCUAGUAUUCAGAUCUAGGCAGAAAUCGAAACUGGGAGUGUUUAUUUAUAUUAUUGCAAUAGGAGAAUAGUAAGUGGCCUCGGUUUGGUGAUGUGGCAGAUGAGAGUUAGGGAAGAAGAGAAUCAAACACAGUAUUUUAUAGAGGUUCCCCCUUAGUUGAUGGGGUAGUCCUCUUGAGCUCACCUCAGAAAAAGCUAAGCCCUUGCACUAUCAAAUUCAAGAUCCAAUACAUAAUUGGUGAAGCUUACAGCUACAGAUGAACUGGUAAGUCUCUAUUUCCUACUGCAUUAGUUUAUCUACUGUUUCUCCUUCUCUCAAUAACUCUCUUCGAUUUCUCUCUGGUUCUUACUAUCCUCUCUAUUUCUCAACUCUGAGUUCUUAUCUUUGAACUCAGAGCAAUUACAGGUUCUCUCUUUCUCUCUAGUAUUCAAAUCUAGGCAGAAAUCGAAACUGGGAGUGUUUAUUUAUAUUGUUGCAAUAGGAGAAGAGUAAGUGGCCUCAGUUUGGUGAUGUGGCAGGUAUAUGUCUUCAGUUUCUGUUAUUUUAGUUAGGAUCUUUUAUUUGUAACUGUAUUGUAGUUGUUAUACUUGUGCAAGUUGUUUUUCCAUGUAACCGACUUAUAAUUAGGAAAGGCUUAGAUGGAUUUAAUUUCAACAGAUGUCACAGAAAUAGAUCUACUAUUGGUGGCAAUAAAUUUAAUUAUGCAGUUGUUGUUAACGAUGAACAUUACUUUUGAUAAAAUAGCCAAUUUAUUGUUGAAGAUGAACAUUAUAAUUGCUUAAAUGUUACAAUGAAUAAUUAUUUAUUUUACUAUUUAUUUAUUGUUUAAAUAUUUGCAUAUGUAAAUAUUCAAUAAUAAAUAUUUUUAUAUAGCAUUUAGCAUUUAGCAUUUGCGGCAAAAAUACUCAUUUGUUGACUUUGUUGCGAAUAAGUACCUAAUUUUUAAAAAUUGCGGCAUUAAUACUCAAAAUCUCACUUCUACUCUGUUGUUGGUACCACUUAACAGACUUACUACUAAGGAAACGUGUAGUGUCCUGAUAAUUCUUCCUUUUAUUUUUACCUAAUUAAUCAAGUAAAUACAUAAAACUAAUUAAAAUAAAAAUAAACAAAUUAAUAAUCGUUUAAAACAUAUAUUAUCAAAAAAAAAAAAAAAACUAAAUUAGUAAAUCUAAAAGCACUGACCUAGCCACCCACCCAUGCAGUCCUUCACCACCACAACAUGAGAGAUCGGGACUGCAUUUCACACCUUCUUUCUUCUUAAACCCAGUUUCCAAGCGAACACCUUCCAAUCGCCCAUCACUAUCACACCACACGAAAGACCUUGGGAGAGCCAUCAAUGGAUGAGGACGAUUACUGCGAUUGUGAGGCCCAAGAAAAGACUAUUUUUGAAGGUUCAAUUGGAUCUAAAACUUAAACAAGUGAGCAUGCUGCUCAAGGCCAAACCGAAGCCCAGCUAGAUGAUGUAUUUAAGGAAGAAGAAUAUGCUCCUGUGGCUAAAGACUUAUAGGAAGAGGGCAUUGCAGAUCCAAGUAAAUGGUGGGGUUCUGUCAAUAAUUUUUGCAGCCAAAUUAACCAAGAAGACUCUGAGGGGGGCUAUGAAGAGGAAGAUGAAUUAAGAAGCUUGCCUAGUGAUGAUGAAGAUGUGCAUCGGUCAAAAAAGUCUAACAUGGAGUUUGAUCCAAGGACUAAGCUUGAGGAGAUCAAGUUCGAAGAGGGUAUGUUUUUCCCUACUAAUGAGCAUUUAAGAAAAGCUUUGAAAGGGUAUUUUGUUACUAGUGAUAGAGAAUUCAAGUAUAUGUAUCCAACGAUAGUUUAAGGAUUCGAGCUAAAUGCAAGGGCAAUGGGUGUACAUGGCUUCUUUAUGCUAGAAGAAUGAGAGAUGAUGGCACAACAUUCAGGAUCAAUAAAAUGAAAGGCAACCAUAAUUGUGGGAUUGUAUUCGAGAACAGCUUAGUAGAUGCAGUCUGGAUUGCAAAACAGUACUUGGAGAAGUUCAGACAAAACCCAGACAUGAACUUCAAGUCUUACAGAUAGAUGACAUCUGAUAGUAAGUACUCCAAAGUUUCCUUUUGGACUUUUUAUCGGGCUAAAAAUAAAGCUAGACACAUUAUUAAUGGUACAGUGAAAGACCAAUAUGCAAUUCUUCACGACUAUUGUACACAAAUAUUAAAACUCAAUCCAGGUAGCACAGCUUUGAUCAAAACCAACUUGGUCAAUGAGAAAAGAGUUUUUGAAAGGGUGUACAUAUGUCUUGAAGCAUGUAAAGUUGGUUUCAAGUAUUGUAGACCCAUCAUAGGAUUAGAUGGAUGCUUCUUGAAAGGUUAUUGCAAAGGUAUGUUACUUGUUGCAAUUGUGAUAGAUGCAAAUAAUAGUACGUUUCCUCUUGCAUAUGCUGUUGUUGAGAAAGAAAAUACUGACAGUUGGACAUGGUUUGUCGGGCUGGUUAAAGAGGACAUAAAUGUAGCAGACACAAGAAGCUUCACUUUCAUUAUGUGAUAGACAGAAAGGCCUCGAGAAAGCUUUGGGUACAACUUUUGAAGGCUCUGAAAUUAGAUUCUGUGUGAGACAUCUUUAUGAAAACUUCAAGGAGUUUCCUGGAUUGUUGUUGAAACAAGCACUAUGGGCAUGUGCUAGAUCGACUACCUCUGAAGAGUUCAAAAGAAAAAUGAAUCACUUGAAGGAGAUUUCUGAACCAGCAUAUAAUUGGUUGAUGAAAAAGACACCCACAGAAUGGUCAAAAUCACACUUUAGGACUUCAGUAAAGUGUGAUAUGCUCCUUAACAAUCUGUGUGAGAGCUUUAAUUCAGCAGUCUUAGAUAGUAGAGACAAAAUGAUAAUCACUCUUUUAGAGUCAAUACGUUUCUGGUUGAUGGAAAGGAUGUGCAAGCAGAUAGUGUCUCUAAAUGGAAUUUUUCUGUUGGAAAGAGGAUCUUUGAUAUCAUUGAGAAGAACAAAAAGGUAGCACAACAAUGCAUUUGCACAAAGUCAAUUGGUGGAUCAUUUCAAGUUACUUACAUAACAGGCCAAGUAUUAUCUGUUGAUUUGGAGACAAGAACAUGUACAUGUAGAUCAUUUGAUCUAACAGGUAUACCAUGUGGUCAUGGCAUAGCUUGUAUAUGGUUUUCUAAUCUUGAUGAAUACCAAUUUGUGGAUCCUUGCUCCAAGAAGGAAGCCUUCAAAGCUAUCUAUGCAAAGGGUAUUGCACCAAUGCCUAGUCCUGAUGAAUGGGAGAAUAAAGGGAAAAGUCCAAUCCUUCCUCCACCUGAAACUAUAUUGCCUGGGAGGCCAAAAAAAUCAAGGAACAGAGAAAGGGAUGAACCUCCAGUAGGUGCAACUAAAUUGAAGAAAACGCCACAAACCAACCAGUGUUUAAACUGCAAACAACGAGGGCAUAUUAAAACUAGUUGAUCCUCCUACUGAGAAGAAAAUGAAGGGUCAUCCCCCCAAGAAAAAUCCAGACCCUAAAACUGUGAACAGGAACAAGCGGAGAAUGAAGCAAAAGGCAAGAGAAGCUAGUUCAUCCCAACAACUACCUAAUGCCCAGUAGUGGUCUUUUUAAUACGUGUUUUAUGGUAGUUAUGAUUGCUUUAGUUUUAUUUUGGUGAAGUAGUGUUAAGUUGGGUAUGGUUUUGUUGGCUAAAGGGCCUUUGCCUUGGACCUUUUCUUUUUUGAAGUAAAAAAAUGACAGAUGAUAUAUCAUGUGAUUCUAUUUGUUGUACAUGAUGUUAUGGUGGAUGUUUAGACAUAUGAUAAAGAAUAUAUGAAUUUUGUUUGUUAAAAA